AGAUAUAAUUUAAUAUUUUUGGUUAAAUUGAAGUUAAGAUUUAUUUUGAGGUUAUUUUUUUUGUUUUUAGGUGAAAUUUAAAUUUUUAUUAACUUUUUUUUGAUUCUUUUAAAUUUAAGAUUUAAACUAGGAUUAGAUACCCUACUAUUUUGGAUGUGAAAAUUUUACCUGGGUACUAUUAGUUAUUUUCUUUAAACCCAAAGAAUUUGGCGGUGUUUUAUUCUUUUCAGAGGAACUUGCCUCAUAAUCGAUAGUCCUCGUUAUAUCUUACUUAAUUUAUUUUAGUAUGUAUACCGCCGUUAUAAGUUUAUUUUUUUAGAAUUAAUUUACUUUAAAUUUUAUUAUAUUUUAUUUCAG
rnacentral:rRNA from 1 species